AUGCAGUGUCAUACAGCACGCGCCGUGGGCGGGAACGGGGGGCUUGUCCGGGCAGCCUGAAACCGGCAGUUUCCCGCCUCGCGAGUGCGCGCGACGCCCGCCUGGCGCUUUGGGCGAGCGCGGUGUCUCGCUUAGCCAAGCCGGGGAGCCAGACGCUGGGUCCCGCGCUCCUCAGAGGUCGCCCGCGCGGGCCAGCCACGGCGUCGGCUCCGCCCGCGGGCCGCUGCCUCCUGUGCUGAGGGGACUGGUAGCAGUAUAAGUAUCCCCAGUGAGAGAAGUCAGAAUGACAGCCACCACCUUUAUAAAAUGCUUCAAGACCUAUUCAGUGUGAAGACAGUCUGUAGCUCAUUCGGAAACCUCCUCUUCGUCCAGGUUUCCAAAUCUCUCUUCUCCUUUCCACUGUGUUGUUACGACCUGCUGUCUAACCAAGGAGAGCUGGAAGAAAUUGCCAUGUUUACAAUCUGUCAACUCUACUCCUAGGUUUUCAAAGUUCACAAGAACGGAGAACGAAACAAUGCUAGCCGAAGCAGAUGAUGUUCCAGCAGUGGCCACUCCAGAGGGUGUCUGAGCCGGUCCCCUAUGGAUA